rnacentral:rRNA from 1 species
UAGGGGAAUCUUCCACAAUGGACGAAAGUCUGAUGGAGCAACGCCGCGUGAGUGAUGAAGGGUUUCGGCUCGUAAAACUCUGUUGUUGGAGAAGAACAGGUGUCAGAGUAACUGUUGACAUCUUGACGGUAUCCAACCAGAAAGCCACGGCUAACUACGUGCCAGCAGCCGCGGUAAUACGUAGGUGGCAAGCGUUGUCCGGAUUUAUUGGGCGUAAAGCGAGCGCAGGCGGUUUCUUAGGUCUGAUGUGAAAGCCUUCGGCUUAACCGGAGAAGUGCAUCGGAAACCAGGAGACUUGAGUGCAGAAGAGGACAGUGGAACUCCAUGUGUAGCGGUGAAAUGCGUAGAUAUAUGGAAGAACACCAGUGGCGAAGGCGGCUGUCUGGUCUGUAACUGACGCUGAGGCUCGAAAGCAUGGGUAGCGAACAGGAUUAGAUACCCUGGUAGUCCAUGCCGUAAACGAUGAGUGCUAAGUGUUGGGAGGGUUUC